rnacentral:rRNA from 1 species
CUGGAUGACGAACUACUACCGAUCAUGUGCUGGAAUGUGCGUGGACUAAAUCACCCAGCGAGGCGAGCUUCCAUCUGCGAAGUAGCCACAACCCAUCGUGUUGCGAUCCUCUAUUUGCAAGAAACAAAAAUCGACGCCUUGUCUCCUAGCCUAGUUUGGGAAAUUGGCAGCACCUCGCUGACUGAUUGCAUUUCCCUUCCGGCGAUCAGCACCAGUGGCGGAGCAGUAAUCCUCUGGAAUAGAGACCUCGCCUCUGUUACCUCACACGCCAUCGGCGCCUUUGCAAUCAUUGCAAAGGUAACCAUGCUUGGCCAGCCACAUAGCUUCUGGAUCUCCUCUGUCUACGAACCUGCUGACGACGCCAGGAAAGACAGCUUCAUCCUUAAGCUUGGCCGCACAACUCCACCCACAUCUGAACCUUGA